CUGGCUCAGGAUGAACGCUGGCGGCGUGCCUAACACAUGCAAGUCGAACGAAGCAUACGGACUGGAGAUUCGUCGAAGGACCGUAUGACUUAGUGGCGGACGGGUGAGUAAUGUAUGAGCAACCUGCCUUUCAGAGGGGGACAACAGUUGGAAACGACUGCUAAUACCGCGUAACGUAUUGUGGGGGGCAUCCUCGUGAUACCAAAGGAGCAAUCCGCUGAAAGAUGGGCUCAUAUCUGAUUAGCUUGUUGGCGGGGUAACGGCCCACCAAGGCGACGAUCAGUAGCCGGACUGAGAGGUUGAACGGCCACAUUGGGACUGAGAUACGGCCCAGACUCCUACGGGAGGCAGCAGUGGGGAAUAUUGGGCAAUGGGCGAAAGCCUCGACCCAGCAACGCCGCGUGAAGGAAGAAGGUCUUCGGAUUGUAAACUUCUUUUAUGAGGGACGAAGGACGUGACGGUACCUCAUGAAUAAGCCACGGCUAACUACGUGCCAGCCGCAGC
rnacentral:rRNA from 1 species